AACUCUGUAGUACUGCCAAGGAUAGUAUUGCUGGGUAAAAUGUUUGUUCAAGUCAGAAAAAGGCUGCAUUGUUCUAGAAACAAAGAGUAUGUUGUCCAGCUCUCCUACUGCAGUGCUCCCCUACACCUUUCUCAAAGCCACACCAUGGAAGUAAAAAUGGAUCCUAUCUGGGAGGCAUUUGUCUUCUAAACAGCCCAGAAAAAAUGGGGAGAAUCUCCUUGAGACACAGGACAUGUUUAUGCCUGGGGCUGAGACCUUGCUUCCUUGGCAAGGGUUUUUUGCUGGCAAGAGACAAGAAAACACUGCAGGAGUGGAGACUUCUGAGCCCAUGGCUAAGACAGAAGAGAGGAGAAAAAAAAGGAAAAGAAGCCCUCUAAAAUUGGAGGGUGAUCUGCAUGACUCUUCAGGAAGGGAGCAACAAGCGCUGGUAGUAGAGGACACUGAGGGGCAGGAGUCCAGAAGAACUUGCAACAAAACCAAGAAAAUAGCUUUGUUUUAGAGCUGAUUAUAAUUUUUAAAGCUGGUGGAACUGAAUGGUUUCUGAUACAGAUCUGCCUCCUUAUUUCUCUGGUUUUAAGCUAAAGAACGAGUAGUAUUACAGAGUGGAAUUGCCACAAUCAACCCCCAUCCUAUGGCUGCUAACAGGGAGUUAGCUGAUGAAGUGCAUUGGAUGUACUUGGUGAAGUGGCAAAACAAGAUAAUGAAAUUGUUGUUCACCCAGGCAUGGGAAGAUUUUGACUAUAAGCCCAGCUCUGACUGUUCUUCUGCUUCCAAAAGUAACUUAAGCAUGGUGCAUUUCAGUUUGUUCAAUAUCUUUCUCUCCCACAUUUAUCUACCUCUGUAAAACCAAGACUUUAAAGUUAUCAUAUCUUUCAAUAAAGAGCCCUGAACCCA